UACAGAGGUCCCAAGCGUUGUUCGGAUUCACUGGGCGUAAAGGGUGCGUAGGCGGUUGGGUAAGUCUGAUGUGAAAUCUCACAGCUUAACUGUGAAACUGCAUUGGAUACUAUCCGGCUAGAGGAAUGGAGGGGAGACUGGAAUACUUGGUGUAGCAGUGAAAUGCGUAGAUAUCAAGUGGAACACCAGUGGCGAAGGCGAGUCUCUGGACAUUUCCUGACGCUGAGGCGCGAAAGCCAGGGGAGCAAACGGG
rnacentral:rRNA from 1 species